rnacentral:rRNA from 1 species
UAAGUUUUUAAGGGCAGACGGUGGAUGCCUUGGCACCAGGAGCCGAUGAAGGACGUGGGAGGCCGCGAUAGGCCUGGGGGAGCUGUCAACCAAGCUGUGAUCCCAGGGUGUCCGAAUGGGGGAACCCAGCCCGAGUCAUGUCGGGUUACCCGCACCUGAAUUCAUAGGGUGUGUGGAGGGAACGCGGGGAAGUGAAACAUCUCAGUACCCGUAGGAAGAGAAAACAACAUGUGAUUCCGUGAGUAGUGGCGAGCGAAAGCGGAUGUAGCCUAAACCGUGUGCGUGUGAUACCUGUCAGGGGUUGCGUGCGCGGGGUUGUGGGACCCUACAGUCGACGCUGACACGUCGGCGCACAGUUAUAAAGCCUUGGGCUAGUCGAAUCCUCUGGAAUGAGGGACCGUAGAGGGUGAGAGUCCUGUAGACGAAAGUUCUAGGCCUGUGGUGGGUGUUCCCGAGUAGCGGCGGACUCCUGAAAUCUGCCGUGAAUCUGCCAGGACCACCUGGUAAGGCUGAAUACUACCUGGUGACCGAUAGCGGAUUAGUACCGUGAGGGAAUGGUGAAAAGUACCCCGGGAGGGGAGUGAAAUAGUACCUGAAACCGUCUGCCUACAAUCCGUCGGAGCUGAGGACUUGUUCCGAGGUGACGGCGUGCCUUUUGAAGAAUGAGCCUGCGAGUUAGUGGCAUGUGGCGAGGUUAACCCGUGUGGGGAAGCCGUAGCGAAAGCGAGUCUGAACAGGGCGUUCAGUCGCAUGCUCUAGACCCGAAGCGGGGUGAUCUAGCCAUGGGCAGGCUGAAGCGACGGUAAGACGUCGUGGAGGGCCGAACCCACCAACGUUGAAAAGUUGGGGGAUGACCUGUGGUUAGGGGUGAAAGGCCAAUCAAACUCCGUGAUAGCUGGUUCUCCCCGAAAUGCAUUUAGGUGCAGCGUCACGUGUUUCUUGCCGGAGGUAGAGCUACUGGAUGGCCUAGGGGGCCCACAAGCUUACCGAAGUCAGCUAAACUCCGAAUGCCGGUAAGUGAGAGCGUGGCAGUGAGACUGCGGGGGAUAAGCUUCGUAGUCGAGAGGGAAACAGCCCAGAUCACCAGCUAAGGCCCCUAAGCGUGUGCUAAGUGGAAAAGGAUGUGGGAUCGCAUAGACAACCAGGAGGUUGGCUUAGAAGCAGCCACCCUUGAAAGAGUGCGUAAUAGCUCACUGGUCAAGUGGUUCCGCGCCGACAAUGUAGCGGGGCUCAAGCACACCGCCGAAGCUGUGGCACUCACACAAUAACCAGGCCAGGUCAUACUGGUCCAGGUGUGUGGGUGGGUAGGGGAGCGUCGUGUGGCGGGUGAAGCGGCAGAGUGAUCUAGCCGUGGACGCCACACGAGUGAGAAUGCAGGCAUGAGUAGCGAAUGCAGGGUGAGAAACCCUGCCGCCGGAUGACCAAGGGUUCCAGAGUCAAGCUAAUCUGCUCUGGGUGAGUCGGGACCUAAGGCGAGGCCGAGAGGCGUAGUCGAUGGACAACGGGUUGAUAUUCCCGUACCCGCAAAGCAGCGCCCGCGAUGAACCUGGCUGUACUAACCUCCACGGACACUGAACACCUUCGGGUGGGAGGUGCGAGUGUUGGGAUCUUGGCUGGUAGUAGUUGAGCGAUGGGGUGACGCAGGAAGGUAGUCGAGCCCAGGCGGUGGUUGUCCUGGGGUAAGCGUGUAGGCCGUGGCGUAGGCAAAUCCGCGCCACAUGGGGCUGAGACGUGAUGCCGAGCCGUAUCAGGUGAAGUCGAUGAUCCUAUGCUGCCGAGAAAAGCCUCUAGCGAGCUGUGCGCGGCCCGUACCCGAAACCGACACAGGUGGUCAGGUAGAGAAUACCGAGGCGAUCGGGCGAACUGUGGUUAAGGAACUCGGCAAAUUGCCCCCGUAACUUAGGGAGAAGGGGGGCCUCGUCUGGUGAAGGCCUUCGCGGCUGGAGCUGGGUGGGGUCGCAGAGAGCAGGGGGAAGCGACUGUUUACUAAAAACACAGGUCCAUGCGAAGUCGUAAGACGCUGUAUAUGGACUGACGCCUGCCCGGUGCUGGAACGUUAAGGGGACCUGUCAGCCCGUAAGGGUGAAGCGGAGAACUUAAGCGCCAGUAAACGGCGGUGGUAACUAUAACCAUCCUAAGGUAGCGAAAUUCCUUGUCGGGUAAGUUCCGACCUGCACGAAUGGCGUAACGACUUCCCCACUGUCUCAACCACAGGCCCGGCGAAAUUGCAGUACGAGUAAAGAUGCUCGUUACGCGCGGCAGGACGGAAAGACCCCGGGACCUUCACUAUAGCUUGACAUUGGUAUCCGGUUCAGCUUGUGUAGGAUAGGUGGGAGACUGUGAAGCGGCGACGCCAGUCGUCGUGGAGUCAACGUUGAAAUACCACUCUGGUUGAUCUGGGUAUCUAACCUCGGACCGUGAUCCGGUUCAGGGACAGUGUCUGGUGGGUAGUUUAACUGGGGCGGUUGCCUCCUAAAGGGUAACGGAGGCGCCCAAAGGUUCCCUCAGCCUGGUUGGCAAUCAGGUGUUGAGUGUAAGUGCACAAGGGAGCUUGACUGUGAGACUGACAGGUCGAGCAGGGACGAAAGUCGGGACUAGUGAUCCGGCACUGGCAUGUGGAAGCGGUGUCGCUCAACGGAUAAAAGGUACCCCGGGGAUAACAGGCUGAUCUUCCCCAAGAGUCCAUAUCGACGGGAUGGUUUGGCACCUCGAUGUCGGCUCGUCGCAUCCUGGGGCUGGAGUAGGUCCCAAGGGUUGGGCUGUUCGCCCAUUAAAGCGGUACGCGAGCUGGGUUUAGAACGUCGUGAGACAGUUCGGUCCCUAUCCGCCGUGCGCGCAGGAGACUUGAGAAGGGCUGUCCCUAGUACGAGAGGACCGGGACGGACGAACCUCUGGUGUGCCAGUUGUACCGCCAGGUGCAUGGCUGGUUGGCUACGUUCGGAAGGGAUAACCGCUGAAAGCAUCUAAGCGGGAAGCUCGCUUCAAGAUGAGGUCUCCCACCGAGAGAUCGGGUAAGGCCCCCGGCUAGACCACCGGGUUGAUAGGCCAGAGAUGUAAGCACAGUAAUGUGUUCAGUCGACUGGUACUAAUAGGCCGAGGACUUACC